rnacentral:rRNA from 1 species
AACGAAAGCGGCGCCUCAGCUCAUGUUGCGGCGGCCCGACAGCACGAUGGGCUCGGCGGCGGCCUUGUUCGGGGGCUCGGCGGCGGCCUGGGAGGCGGCGGCCUAGGUUGG